AGGAGAAAACAAUCUAAAUCAGGGGUUGGCAAACUUUUUCUGUAAAGGGCUGAAGGGUAACUAGUUUAGGCUUCCCGGGUCACACAGGCCCUGCCGCAACUACUCAGCUCUGCUAUCCUAGCACAGGAACAGCAGGAACUUUACCCAAACAGGCGCUAAGCCUGAUAUGGCCCAGGCCUUUGUUUGUCAGUCCCUAACUUCAGUGGUCCUCAGGCCUCACAGUGCAUCAGAAUCAUUGGGGAGUGUUUCUAAAAUACCAAGAUGUAGGCACCAGCCCCCGGAGAAGGCAAUGGCAGCAGUUUUUACCAAAUGCUUCUCAGAUCUUAACAUGACAUUAACACCGCUUAGUAAUUGGGAAUUUCAACAGGACUAGUUCAAUGAAGGAAAAAAAUGGAACCCCAGAGACCUCACUCUGUCUGACCUGUACCUCCACAGGCUUUAAUCAAGUAAGUCUCUGACCUUGUCUUGUUCUUAACUCUUCAGCACUAGUGAUUAUAAUUG
rnacentral:lncRNA from 1 species